rnacentral:tRNA from 1 species
GCGCCCAUAGCUCAGUGGAUAGAGCGCCGGUCUUCGGAACCGUAGGUCGUGGGUUCGAAUCCCUCUGGGCGCG